AGUGAACGCUGGCGGUAGGCCUAACACAUGCAAGUCGAACGGCAGCACAGUAAGAGCUUGCUCUUACGGGUGGCGAGUGGCGGACGGGUGAGGAAUACAUCGGAAUCUACUUUUUCGUGGGGGAUAACGUAGGGAAACUUACGCUAAUACCGCAUACGACCUACGGGUGAAAGCAGGGGAUCUUCGGACCUUGCGCGAUUGACUGAGCCGAUGUCGGAUUAGCUAGUUGGCGGGGUAAAGGCCCACCAAGGCGACGAUCCGUAGCUGGUCUGAGAGGAUGAUCAGCCACACUGGAACUGAGACACGGUCCAGACUCCUACGGGAGGCAGCAGUGGGGAAUAUUGGACAAUGGGCGCAAGCCUGAUCCAGCCAUACCGCGUGGGUGAAGAAGGCCUUCGGGUUGUAAAGCCCUUUUGUUGGGAAAGAAAAGCAGCAGGUUAAUACCCCGCUGUUCUGACGGUACCAAAAGAAUAAGCACCGGCUAACUUCGUG
rnacentral:rRNA from 1 species